UACGUAGGCAGCGAGCGUUGUUCGGAGUUACUGGGCGUAAAGGGUGCGUAGGCGGGAGAAUAAGUCAGCGGUGAAAUCUUACGGCUCAACCGUGAAACUGCCGUUGAUACUGUUUUUCUUGAGUUCGGGAGAGGUUGAUGGAAUUCCAGGUGUAGCGGUGAAAUGCGUAGAUAUCUGGAAGAACACCAGUGGCGAAGGCGGUCAACUGGCCCGAAACUGAACGCUGAGGCACGAAAGGCGUGGGAU
rnacentral:rRNA from 1 species